CGCAUGCCUAAGCUCUUGACUAUCUGGAUUGUGCUGUGGGGGCUUCCGUAGACCGUUUUCCUCGGUUAGGAUUUAACAUGGCGGCUCCCUUUCCGGAGAUCGCAGAAGUGACCUGGUGAUGGCAAAAUCGAGUACUGGCCAGCCGAUGGGCCUGUAAUGAGAAGAGAGUGGACCUGGAAUCAGCUGUCCAGACUUGCCAUUUGAGUCCAGGAAAUUUCCUCAGAUAUUAUGGGGCUUCUCUUUGGAAACCAGCCUUUUAAAUCCUGCUGUGAUGCCAAGAGGUAGCCCAGCAACUCACAUCCUGCCUUGCUCUGAGCCAUUUUCUUGUGUGGCCAUCUCUGACGCCUUAUGCCGAAGCUGAUGUGGCUCAGCACCAAGUUCCAUCACCAAGAGGGUGCUUGUUAACUGGCAUUGCCGAAAAGGUCUCCUCGCUUUCAUUGUCUGUGUAAAGUUACUUCUUUUCAGGGCAGCAGUAAUUUGUUGAAAAUCUGUGGAAGCAUUUUUACAGUUGGUGUGGGGGGAAAGCGCUAAAUAGAAAUAUGAACACUUCUAUGGUGCACUCCAAGACACAUCUAAGCUCUAGUUUCAUGGAAACCUUGGGCUCCUCUGUUCCUUUAUUACCACGGGUUUUAUCCAGAAGGUGGCAUCACAGAACCUGAAUUUCAUUCACCAAAGGUUAAAAGAUAAUCCACAUUUCUUUGUGAUUGGAAACUAAAGUGUCUUUUCUUUAGAGGGCAUGUUUAAAGACUUUUUGUUCAUCAUGUAAUCAGUGAAAUUACUUUAAACCUGUGAAAGACGGGGAUCGUGAUGACUUCCUGCUCAGUGAACAUCUGAAGCCUGAGAUACUUAGAAAAACCUGUCCUAAGCCCAUCUUCCUUCCCCAGGUGCCAUAAUGAUGAUCAAAACUGGCAUAUUUCCUAGUCAAGACAAUUGAGAAACUUAAGAACAACCAUGAGGCCUUCUUCCCCUUCCACACAUACUUGUUCCCACUGCCCAUCAAAGUCAUCUUGGCUGACUUCAUUAGAGGCAGGGAUCAAGAAAACCUAAAUGGAUGGUUUAAGAGGUCAAUCUGCUGUGUAGUGGCACUUCAAAAUAAGUCACAAGGUUGAGGAUUCCAAAAAGGUGACUCUCCAGUUGGUGACAGUCUCAGAAAUCAGGGCUCUUGUGGAAAGAGAAGGUAAUCAUCUUCUGAAUUUGAGAUGGAAUCUGGCUUGCUGGUUCUUUCCCAGGAAUUCAUUCCUAUGCCAGCCAUGUCACUUAGCCUCAUGAGACAGUACCUCAGUGAAUGUGUACUCACUUGUGGGAAGGUUAAUGUUCUAUAAAUUCUUGGUGUGAGGUAUUCCUUUUGAUACAUACCACAAGUGGGAUUGCUUGGCUAGAUGGUAGUUCUCAUUUUCAUUUUUUGAGGGGCUUUCAUACUGUUUUCCAUAGUAGCUGUACCAACUGAAUCUUGAACAAAUGAGUUUCAUGAGUGGUUCUCAGGCCACUUUUGAUUGUCGGUUCUUUUCAGGAGAAGUACUGUAGAGAUUAGGGGCUCAAAGCAGGAAGGAGUUCCCUGAUCAGGAAAGAUGGAAUGACUGACUACAUACGGACCUUCAUUGGGGUGCCUAAAGCCUAUGGGUGGGGAAGGGGCUGGGAAGAGUGACCUUCUGUAGAGCUGCUCUCAGAGCACAAGGAGAAAGCUAGACAGGAGGACAUAGGCCCUCAAUGUGAAUGGUGCAUUGGACUUCCUAUGGUCAAAAGUGUCUCCUACCUAUUUCUCAAUCCCUGGUACUGCCUGGGAUCAUUGUAGCAAGGGGACUGAACAUAAUAGUGCACAUCGCUGAGUGUGACAUGAGAGUGGAUUCCUUUCAGGGAAAGGUGAGACUUUCAUGAUGAAGGCUUUACCCUAUGUGACAGCAUUCCUCAGAGUUCUGGACCUCACUGUUAGGGAUGUUCUUGUGAUCCUGGUUCAGUCUGUGCACUGCCUUAGGCUGUGAAAAGCAGCUCAGGAAAGGUGACCUUUCCCCCUCCUAUACUGUGGCCUAGAGCAGUAUCGUGAGAGGGUCUCUUGGGAGGCGCCCACUGAAGGUGACUGCACUUGGGAGAGUAGACUGCUCAACUCUUCUGUUGAGACUACCUGUGCCCAUAAAGAGGCACAUGCAAGUGAACUGCUGUUGCUGGUGUGUUCUACUAAUAUACCAACAAGACACUUCUUCCUUUGACACUCACACAACUUAGGUGCCUUGGUAAAGUCCUAAAGAAGGCAACAGCAGCAUGUGGGGCAUUGGAAAUGUUGAGUCUGGGGCAGAAGUUGGCGGUAGCCUGAUGUCAGAAUUCUGUGCAUUGUGCCCAGCGAGGGCACAUUGGGAAUCCUGAGGAGUCCUGACUCUGUUUGUCAGAAUGUGGUUGGAAAUUUCCACAUUCACUUUCUGCACUCUUCCACUGAGCACACUCUGUGCAUUGGCUGGAAGACAGAGGUCCGAUGGGUCUUGUCAGUGAACUGUCCAUGAAUCCAGGGCCAUUUGCUUCCUUCGGGGCAUAUGCCGAUGAGCCUGGAUGUCCAGGAACCUCCCGAGUCAGGUGCCCCAGCUGGAGGAUGAAGCCCUUGUAUUCCUCUUGCUGGAGAGGGCUGCAUCCCCAGGCUGUCGCUGUCUCUCCCACCCGUGUAUCUGCUAGAAAGCCUUUCUAGAAGAAAGGGUGGCUGGUGGUGGCUCCUCUUCCAUUUGGUUUUUCCUGUUGGUGGGGGUGACAUUGCCUCAGGGUUACCUUCUCUGCACUCUCAAGGAAGGUGUUGUUGGUACAACAGUGGAGGGACAGUUAUGCAUUGUUUGUGGUGGUGUGCUACUGGAGUGGGGGAGAGGAAAGGGGAGCUCAAUUGGGGGAGGGACAAGGCCUGAUGCUUUCCCCAUGUCAGGCUUUUGCUUUCUCUUGAUUCAGGAAAUUUGGGUCCAGCAGGACUAUGAGGAGGAGGCUCUGAGAGUAUAAGGAAAGAUUGCCAGUGUGGAGGAUAAGGGUCUUUGGUGUGACGACUGUGGUGGGCAUUGUGGGUUUAGGGCUCUUUCUCUUGUCUCCUUUCUCCAUUCUCGUGCCCUUCCAUUGGAUUAGCAUAGCUGAGGCAGAAAAAUUAACAAUAGCCCCUGAUGGAUAUACUAUAAGAAGAUAUGGCUUUCGUAUAAACUAAGACAUUUAUUAUGGGAACAGGAUUAUUUUCCAUUUUCCCAAGUGAAUUGUGAUUUUGUCUGCAGGUGAAGGCUUUGCUGUCUCUUCCUUGCUCUGUGUUGCCUAGACCUGUGACAAAUGGCUGUUAUGGAGGGGGAGCUCUUUGUCCAGCUGAACUGUUGCAGAGUAUAUAAUCUAAGGGAGUUCUGAGAAGGGACUGCUGUUGCUUACACUUUUUUUUUCCCCGGAGAUAUUUCCUGCCCUUUUCCUGUAGCUUUAUGGGCUCUUUGUCACUGCUUUUGCUGCCAGGUCCCUGAAGGAACACUCUUGGUUUUUCAAAUUCCCAAGAGGCUUCUUUAACUUACAGAAAAGAUUUGCAUACAUUGCAGAGAGUCAGAAAUGGCAGCCUAUUGCCUGGAGAAUCCCAGGGACUGGGGAGCCUGGUGGACUGCCAUCUGUGUGGUCACACAGAGUCAGACAGGAAUGAAGUGAUUAUCAGAGUCAGACAAAGACCUGACCACACUCCAGAGUUUUUGAGGAAAAGUGAGAAAGAAGUCCUCGUCCCUUUCCAGCAUGAGCAAUUUAAUUUUCCUUAUUUAGGUGUCCCUUACAAUGUGUUCCCUGUGAGAUACCAGGUUCCCUGGGUACCUUCACCAUCCCUCCAAGUGCUGAUUCUGAAGUCCUUGGCAUAGCCAGAACUGUGCAGAGAACUUUCUCAAGAGGAACUUGUGGAAACAGCACCUGAAGGACAAGUACAAAGUAUGAGUAACUUCUUAUCCUCUAGGAGCUUUUUACCCAUACAUAUGUCCUCAGGGCGAAUUCUCUGUGAUCAGUAGUAUCACUGCAGAUGACGAUUAAAACUUCAAACCUUGUUUAGAGAUGGUUUAAGUCACUCUACUGACGUCAACACUCUGUUGGCAAGGAGAGCUGACCUUCAUCUCUAACCUUCCCUUUCUCAAGCACUCUGAAGGAGCAGAGAUUUGAUCUCCAGUUGGCAGAGGUCCGAUUUCUGUGUCUUGUGGUGCACAGGCCCUGCUAGAAUACUUGGGAGGAGGCAAGGACUCAGAUCCGGCAGAGUUUUACUUAUGGAAGUUUAGUGUGCAGCUCUGUCAAAAAGAGUGGACAGAAUGAGCCAAAUCUGUGCAUUCCUGGACAGUUUGAAUGGUCUCUUCAUCCCUAUGGAUUUAAAUUUGCCCUGCCAGUCCACUAUGCUGACUCUAGCAUGCACCCAAAAUGGGUUACUGAAUGUCACCAGCCAGGCCACCUCACUGUUUCGAUUUGAGUUGGCUUUCUGAGCUUCCUUUGCUUCUCCUUAUACAUGUGCAAGCCUCCUGUACUACUUCUUAUCAGCUUUGGAAAGAGCAGUAAUGGACCCACCUCAGUGAAUCCUAAGGAGAUUCACUGGUUUACCCAGCCUCCCCCAUCAGUCAGACAAAGCACCUUCCAGAAUGCUCAAAGGCCUGUUGCAGAUUUUCCUCUAGUAUGUUGUCAAUGUACUGAGCUACAGG